GAUGAACGCUGGCGGCGUGCCUAAUACAUGCAAGUCGAGCGAACAGAUAAGGAGCUUGCUCCUUUGACGUUAGCGGCGGACGGGUGAGUAACACGUGGGUAACCUACCUAUAAGACUGGGAUAACUUCGGGAAACCGGAGCUAAUACCGGAUAACAUUUGGAACCGCAUGGUUCUAAAGUGAAAGAUGGUUUUGCUAUCACUUAUAGAUGGACCCGCGCCGUAUUAGCUAGUUGGUAAGGUAACGGCUUACCAAGGCGACGAUACGUAGCCGACCUGAGAGGGUGAUCCGCCACACUGGAACUGAGACACGGUCCCGACUCCUACGGGAGGCAGCAGUAGGGAAUCUUCCGCAAUGGGCGAAAGCCUGACGGAGCAACGGCGCGUGGGGGAAGAAGGGUUUCGGCUCGGAAAACUCUGUUAUUAGGGAAGAACAAAUGUGUAAGUAACUGUGCACGUCUUGACGGUACCUAAUCAGAAAGCCACGGCUAACUACGU
rnacentral:rRNA from 1 species